rnacentral:rRNA from 1 species
UACGAAGGGUGCUAGCGUUGUUCGGAAUUACUGGGCGUAAAGCGCACGUAGGCGGACUGUCAAGUCAGGGGUGAAAUCCCGGGGCUCAACCUCGGAACUGCCUCUGAUACUGUCAGUCUAGAGUCCGGAAGAGGUGGGUGGAAUUCCUAGUGUAGAGGUGAAAUUCGCAGAUAUUAGGAAGAACACCGGUGGCGAAGGCGGCCCACUGGUCCGGAACUGACGCUGAGGUGCGAAGCGUGGGGAGCAAACAGG